rnacentral:lncRNA from 1 species
UUCUUAAAAGUAAUGAUUUCUCAUUAAGGCUCUUGCACCUGCUUGUGAAGAAAAGACAUCUGACCUUUAAAAAAUAUUCCAUGGGUCUGAAUCAUCUAAGUAUAUUGUAGCUUUAUUCUUGCAGACAAGGGAAACCAAGAAUGAUCUGGAUAAUGGAGAAAACUGUUAAUACAGCUGGAUUUGAAUCACACUACUGGCUGAAAUUCACACAACCGGAUUGGGAUCCCAAGGAUGCUCAAGCAUCAUGGCGUCAUUUCCAGUGGAGUCGCUGAACUUGUAGGUUGUCUACCUGACACCUCGAGGUCCUUACUCACCAAGAAGUCAGCUGUGAAGCCCGCUGAGUCCUCGGGUGGAUGUCUGCCACCACAUACAUAGCCUUUGCUGGUGGCUUGGAGAGCUGGUGGGUCAGCCACAGAAAGUGGGCAAGACCUAGUCAGUAGCGACAGGAUAUGUUCCCAGGAUGGACAGCUGCCUGAUAUGCAUUCAUUUCCGGUGCCAAAGCCAAGGGCUGCCAGUGCCCUUCCUUCAUGCUAAGGACUUCUCUCUCUCCAGG